GGGGCUGUAGCUCAGAUGGGAGAGCGCCUGCUUUGCACGCAGGAGGUUAGGGGUUCGAAUCCCCUCAGCUCCACCA
rnacentral:tRNA from 1 species